rnacentral:rRNA from 1 species
GAGUUUGAUCCUGGCUCAGAACGAACGCUGGCGGCGUGCUUAACACAUGCAAGUCGAACGCGAACGUCUUCUUCGGAAGAUUAGUAGAGUGGCGCACGGGUGAGUAACGCGUAAGUAAUCUACCCUCGCAUUUGGGAUAACCCACCGAAAGGUGUGCUAAUACCGGAUACGUCUAAGAUAAUAUCUUUUUUUUAGAGAAAGGUGGCCUCUGAUUCAAGCUACUGUGCGGGGAGGAGCUUGCGUACCAUUAGCUAGUUGGUAGGGUAAUGGCCUACCAAGGCAACGAUGGUUAGCGGGUCUGAGAGGAUGAUCCGCCACACUGGUACUGAAACACGGACCAGACUCCUACGGGAGGCAGCAGUGAGGAAUAUUGCGCAAUGGGGGCAACCCUGACGCAGCGACGCCGCGUGGAUGAUGAAGGCCUUCGGGUUGUAAAAUCCUGUCAGGUGGGAAGAAGUGCUAUAUGGUUAAUAUCUGUAUAGUUUGACGGUACCAUCAAAGGAAGCACCGGCUAACUCCGUGCCAGCAGCCGCGGUAAUACGGAGGGUGCAAGCGUUGUUCGGAAUUACUGGGCGUAAAGCGCGCGUAGGCGGUCUGUUAUGUCAGGUGUGAAAGUCCAUGGCUCAACCAUGGAAGUGCAUUUGAAACUGACAGACUUGGGUACUGGAGGGGGUGGUGGAAUCCCCGGUGUAGAGGUGAAAUUCGUAGAUAUCGGGAGGAAUACCGGUGGCGAAGGCGACCACCUGGCCAGAUACUGACGCUGAGGUGCGAAAGCGUGG